CAGCCGCCGCGGUAAUCCCGGCGGCCCGAGUGGCGGUCACUAUUAUUGGGCUUAAAGCGUCCGUAGCCGGGUUGGGAAGUCCUCCGGGAAAUCUGGCCGCUUAAAGGUCAGAAUGCCGGAGGAUACUCCCAGCCUAGGGAGCGGGAGAGGCCGAGGGUAUUCCCGGAGUAGGGGUGAAAUCCUAUAAUCCCGGGAGGACCACCUGUGGCGAAGGCGCUCGGCUGGAACGCGUCCGACGGUGAGGGACGAAGGCCAGGGGAGCAAACCGGAUUAGAUACCCGGGUAGUCCUGGCUGUAAACGAUGCGGACUUUGUGUCGGACAAGCUAUGAGCUUGUCCGGUGCCGGAGGGAAACCGUUAAGUCCGCCGCCUGGGGAGUACGGCCGCAAGGCUGAAACUUAAAGGAAUUGGCGGG
rnacentral:rRNA from 1 species